UUUCAGUUCUACAUUAAAUUAAUAUUAUUAUUCAAUAUGGAAUUAUUUAUAUCACGCUAUGACGAAUAAUAAUAUUAUUAUUCAGCAUACGAAAGCUGGCUGUGAACGAUGUGUUGUGUUGCCUAUCCACAUCAACCGAAUUUAUCAGAUAUUCGUUUUUAUUUAUUACGGAUAACCAUAACGUUUUUUUUUAUAGUAAGUAUGUCUAUUUCGCCUUUAUAAUGAACCUACC